rnacentral:tRNA from 1 species
GGUGCCAUAGCUCAGUUGGUAGAGNNAAUGGACUGAAAAUCCAUGUGUCCUUGGUUCGAUCCCGAGUGGCACCACCG